AUUAUGCAAAGCCUAUGCAUAAUAUUAACCUAUAAUAUUAAGCCCAUGCAAAUUGCCCAUGAUCAUUGUUUCACUUAUGUACAGGUAUGGCCUGUUUAAUUUUGUUAAGUCUAUUGUUAUUAUCUUGCCCGUUGCUUUUAUAUUCCUUCCAUUUAUAUCACGUUUUCUUAACCUAAUUUAUUCAUCACUUAAACCUAACCCUAGCCGUCAAUUUUAUCUCAAAACCUCUAAAACAUCGCUGUUCAAAUCAUCCUCUUUAUGCUCGUGAAAUUAGCGUUAUAUUUGGAUCCGUCUUGUCCCUGUGAUACUAGACUCACGCCUCUACGAUUCUCAACUUCGUUUUCUCAUUCGACUCUUCGACUACUCGCGCUCCGGAGUCGAAACAGGGUUAGCUGUUUGCCAAGAUCACGUGGAUAAGCAAGCUGGUUAUGAUCUGAGAGAGUCUGGUGAUCUCCGCAUUUACUUUUCCUCGGAGGUUCCAUUUAUUUUUAUAAACUGUCAAACUAUUUUAUUCUUAGACCGCAGUAGUUGACUAGACGUCUUUAUUAUUGUUACAGUUGUAUGUCGGAUUGGUCUGACUGGUUAUAUUGCUCUGGCAUGUUAUGUAUUUAUUUCGGAUUAUUUAUGUUAUGCCUAUUUUAGACCCGGAAUUGAAUAAGUAUGUUAUAUUAACUGUUGAUUAUCAUAACUGCUAGUUUAGGCUGAAGUCUCGGUUGCCCCCGAGCAUUGGUUUUCUGCAGGUUUAUGUAUUUAUGAAUUAAAUGAAAGGCUAGC